rnacentral:rRNA from 1 species
GACGAACCGUACGAACGUUAUUCGGAAUUACUGGGCUUAAAGGGUGCGUAGGCUGCGCGGAAAGUUGGGUGUGAAAUCCCUCGGCUCAACCGAGGAACUGCGCUCAAAACUACCGUGCUCGAGGGGGACAGAGGUGAGCGGAACUUAGGGUGGAGCGGUGAAAUGCGUUGAUAUCCUAAGGAACACCCGUGGCGAAAGCGGCUCACUGGGUCUCUUCUGACGCUGAGGCACGAAAGCCAGGGGAGCGAACGGG